rnacentral:rRNA from 2 species
UACAUGCAAGUCGAACGAGUUCUCGUUGAUGAUCGGUGCUUGCACCGAGAUUCAACAUGGAACGAGUGGCGGACGGGUGAGUAACACGUGGGUAACCUGCCCUUAAGUGGGGGAUAACAUUUGGAAACAGAUGCUAAUACCGCAUAGAUCCAAGAACCGCAUGGUUCUUGGCUGAAAGAUGGCGUAAGCUAUCGCUUUUGGAUGGACCCGCGGCGUAUUAGCUAGUUGGUGAGGUAAUGGCUCACCAAGGCGAUGAUACGUAGCCGAACUGAGAGGUUGAUCGGCCACAUUGGGACUGAGACACGGCCCAAACUCCUACGGGAGGCAGCAGUAGGGAAUCUUCCACAAUGGACGCAAGUCUGAUGGAGCAACGCCGCGUGAGUGAAGAAGGCUUUCGGGUCGUAAAACUCUGUUGUUGGAGAAGAAUGGUCGGCAGAGUAACUGUUGUCGGCGUGACGGUAUCCAACCAGAAAGCCACGGCUAACUACGUGCCAGCAGCCGCGGUAAUACGUAGGUGGCAAGCGUUAUCCGGAUUUAUUGGGCGUAAAGCGAGCGCAGGCGGUUUUUUAAGUCUGAUGUGAAAGCCCUCGGCUUAACCGAGGAAGCGCAUCGGAAACUGGGAAACUUGAGUGCAGAAGAGGACAGUGGAACUCCAUGUGUAGCGGUGAAAUGCGUAGAUAUAUGGAAGAACACCAGUGGCGAAGGCGGCUGUCUGGUCUGUAACUGACGCUGAGGCUCGAAAGCAUGGGUAGCGAACAGGAUUAGAUACCCUGGUAGUCCAUGCCGUAAACGAUGAAUGCUAGGUGUUGGAGGGUUUCCGCCCUUCAGUGCCGCAGCUAACGCAUUAAGCAUUCCGCCUGGGGAGUACGACCGCAAGGUUGAAACUCAAAGGAAUUGACGGGGGCCCGCACAAGCGGUGGAGCAUGUGGUUUAAUUCGAAGCAACGCGAAGAACCUUACCAGGUCUUGACAUCUUUUGAUCACCUGAGAGAUCAGGUUUCCCCUUCGGGGGCAAAAUGACAGGUGGUGCAUGGUUGUCGUCAGCUCGUGUCGUGAGAUGUUGGGUUAAGUCCCGCAACGAGCGCAACCCUUAUGACUAGUUGCCAGCAUUUAGUUGGGCACUCUAGUAAGACUGCCGGUGACAAACCGGAGGAAGGUGGGGAUGACGUCAAAUCAUCAUGCCCCUUAUGACCUGGGCUACACACGUGCUACAAUGGAUGGUACAACGAGUUGCGAGACCGCGAGGUCAAGCUAAUCUCUUAAAGCCAUUCUCAGUUCGGACUGUAGGCUGCAACUCGCCUACACGAAGUCGGAAUCGCUAGUAAUCGCGGAUCAGCACGCCGCGGUGAAUACGUUCCCGGGCCUUGUACACACCGCCCGUCACACCUGAGAGUUUGUAACACCCGAAGCCGGUGGCGUAACCCUUUUAGGGAGCGAGCCGU